AGGUUCUCCGGUGUCUCGAGGGCGGCUCAAGUUAGAGUUGUUGGGUUUUGCUCAGAUUGGUGUGGGAAGAGCCUGCCUGUGGGGAGCGGCCACUCCAUACUGCUGAGGCCUCAGGACUGCUGCUCAGCUUGCCCGUUACCUGAAGAGGCGGCGGAGCCGGGCCCCUGACCGGUCACCAUGUGGGCCUUCUCGGAAUUGCCCAUGCCGCUGCUGAUCAAUUUGAUCGUCUCGCUGCUGGGAUUUGUGGCCACAGUCACCCUCAUCCCGGCCUUCCGGGGCCACUUCAUUGCUGCGCGCCUCUGUGGUCAGGACCUCAACAAAACCAGCCGACAGCAGAUGAGCAGUGUAAGGCAUUCCCCCACCAUGAAUUUGUGGCCCUGAUAGGUGCCCUCCUUGCCAUCUGCUGCAUGAUCUUCCUGGGCUUUGCGGAUGAUGUACUGAAUCUGCGCUGGCGCCAUAAACUGCUGCUACCUACAGCUGCCUCACUACCUCUCCUCAUGGUCUAUUUCACCAACUUUGGCAACACGACCAUUGUGGUGCCCAAGCCCUUCCGCCCGAUACUUGGCCUGCAUCUGGACUUGGG
rnacentral:sRNA from 1 species